UGCACGCAGACUGCACGCAGACUGCACGCAAGCAAGCCGCGCGGUUCAUUUCUCAAGCUAAACGCAUUUAUCGGUGAUGCACCGAGGGAGAAAAUCAGAGCCCUCCGCCUCUCGCCGCCGACGUUGUACAGCCAUUGUCCUCGCGUACGCGUCGCCGUUGUGUCAGAGAAUGCCGUGGCGAGGUGCCGAGCAAGGGGCUGCGUCGGAGGGUUCGGAGUGGAAGGACAGGGAGUAGAGGGUUGCACGCCAUUCCUUCGACAUUACGUCAUACGUCGAUUCUCUGGGGAUUCCCACGGCGUCAACCCACGCCGAGAAACUUCGUCGACCGCAUUCAGCAGGAUACCAAGUUUUCUAUUUGCUUUCGUCUGACAAGAGUUCUCUGUUGGUUACCUAUUGGAAGAAGGAAGAGGUCGCGGUGUUUGUGUACGCGAAGAAAGUAGGUUUGUUGGUAGCGUGUAAUACGUACGAAGAAAAUGAAAGCUACGAGAUCGAUUCGCGUUGAACGGAAAAAUGGAAUGGAUCGAACGAACGAGUUGCACGCGUUCGACGCUGGCAAUCGUCGGAUAAGAGCCAUCCUCCCGUAAUCGUUUUUCCACGUUCCAACCGAAUCGUUGCUGGGUGAAGAAGUUUAAACAAAAAACAAAGCAGAGAGGGAGGAGACAGGGAAACUGUGAAAAAGGGAACAAAUAAUGGAAAUGGUGUCUCGCUUAGGGGUAAUCGUCGUCGCGUGCUCGCAGAGUAAAAAUGGGGCUGCCGCGGCUGAUUAAUCAUCGGCAAUCUCGCGAGAGCGCGUCGAAAGGACGCGGCCAUUAAAGGCAAACGACGAGAACUUCGUCACCGGUCGGCGUUCGACGAUCGUGUUCCGGGGUUGAACGAGUUAUUUUUUUCUCUCUCCCUUCGCGCGACGAUACGUGGCAGAAGGAGAAACAGAGACGAACGAGUAAUUUAAUUGAAAUUCCCCAACCGUGCCCUCACCAGCGGUGGCGCAGAAAUUGUGGAAAAAUCGAGUCAUACGAUCGCCGGGGCUGCGUGAAAAUGGAAUUACGGCGGAGAAACGAGGUUUGUCCGAUGAUGCAGGUGAACGCCGGUUUCACGAGGGAUCGAGCAGCCGAACGUACAAAGGGAUGAAAAAACAUAGACUCGUCGGUCCGCGGAAAGACCGAGGGUUUAUAGGGACAAAAUUUUUGUACGUUUAAAUUUCAGCGUAAAUUGGCCUUGCAAAAUUACUCUCAAUUACUCUACGCGAUACUCGCGAGUGCGAGAGCUCGUUCGAUCGCAACCAUCGUGCGUAUACAGAGCGUUCUGGCUGCCUGGCCUCGAGCAGCAAGCGCAACUCGACUGAAAGAUAUCCUAUCUACAGCGUACGUACGAGUUUGCCACACGUGUGUAUGUACAUAUGUGUAAACGCGUAUGCACGGUGUACAAAUUGGUCGGCGCACAAAUUGAUCGAUAAUCUGACCGGUAAUCGAGGAGUUUUCCGAAACGUUGCGUUGAUGGCUCGUACAGCCGGAAAUAUUAUAGUCGGGCGAAAUCAGCCUCGAAAUACCGACGGGACGGUGAUCAAGGGUCGACCACUUAUAGCGCAAUUUGUUUUAAUUAAAAAUCGUCCGUGCCUGCGGUACAAUGAAAUUCGCAUUAUACGCGACGAUGCACGGCGAUAUACGAAUUUCGUUAGCGAAAACGCAACGUGAGAUCGAUAGCGAUACUGUACCGAUAUCGCUGUAUGGUAUAGCGUCUGACGAGUCGAUGAGUCGCGAUAUUAAAUGUACUGGCUCGGUGUUAAUUAUGAAUCCAUGGGAGCACGCGAAUUGAACGAUCGUAUCGCAGCGGAGGCCUCAUUUCGAUAUGCACAUUUUAAUUAGCGCUUAACCGAAGAAAGGACGAUAUCUCGGUGGCGAGACAAACAGAAACACCGUAAUUCGAUUCGGAAGGUGCAAAUAUUUGAUAAGGUUGUAACGUUGUGUUACCAGAGGUUCGCCAGAGGCGUGGUAGCUUGUAGGCGGAAUCGGUGCAAUGAAGUGCAUAUAGACACUUCAUCACCGCGCAUCCGGAAUCGCCGGAGGUCAGUUACGCGAAAAUAUUCCCCGUUGUAACAUCGUGUUUCGGAAAACGGGAAGGCUGCCUUCGGUGCGGAAACACGCAAACUCCGCCUAUAGCCUGCUUGUUUCGCCCAUCUGAACCGUCUAUUUCGAGUUUACAGCGGCGGAAACCCGAAUCGAAACGGAGGUCAGUUACGAGAAAAUAUUGACUGAUCGCGCGUAAUGGCACACCCGAGCGCCAACAAUAGAAUCGUGCCUCUGCCUACGUGUACGUAGUUAUCGCGAUGCGAAGCACGCGUACCUGUACUCGUGCGUAUCCAUUCUCGUACCUAUGCCUAUGUACCUGUACAUACACGUAUACAUAUACGCAAAUUCACGCAUCCAUACAUCGAAACAUGCACGCGUUAUCGCGUACGAAUCGCGAGUAGAGUCGGCUAAGCGUAGAGACGCGCGGCCCGAUGUUAAAGCACGGACAUUUCCUGGUCCUCAUCAAUUGUCAUUAAACGACAUGAUUAUUGCGCGUGUUGACGAUUAUUGCGGCGAUAGGCCGUUACCGGAAUAUCCAGCGAAGCCCGCGGUCUCGUAAUGAUCGAUGCUCGAUACGUACUCAUCGAGUAUUUCGUUAAUGGUCGGGACAUUGUGUCGAGCGAUGUGCACGGCCUCGCGAAAAUGCCAAAAGCCCUCUCCCAUUCACCGUUAACGAGUCGUUUCGAGGAGAGCGCGUUUUAUCCAAAGAGUCCCUUUGGUUCCGUUUUCCACAUGAUGUCACGGCGGUUGUUAUCAGGGCGCGACCAUCGAUCAAUGACCCUGCCGAUAAAUCGCCAAUGCGAUAACAUCCAAUCGGAUUAUUUCGUGGUUCGCUGAUUAUUUGAAUUUUUCCACGUGAUUCUUGCACGACCACGCUGAUGACUUCGAUCGUUCAGGGAAAGAUCGUUUAACGCGCGAAACGAUCGUAUCGUCCGGUUAAUCGUUAGUCGGACGAGAGAUGAGUUUGCGUUAUCGAAACGAACGAACUGUAAGUCACGAAACGGAGCACCUGUACGUACGUCGAGUAUAUUAUCCGGCUACGAGAGCCUGUUCCCUUCGAUAGGUCCGAUGAUUCGCCGAAAAUAAUAGAUUUAUCAUCCCCAAUUGGCUUCUAGCAGUUUAUUUCAUGGGAAUCCAUGGACGAUGAACGCCCCCGCGCGAGCCCCUCGUAACGCAAUACGCUGAUAUACGCGCAAGGAUUUUCUCUAUGAUAUGCAACAUGCGGGACGUAAUUCAGUCGGUGCAAGUCAUCGGGAUCAUCUACGUAGGACUACGAUCGCCGCUAACGAUCCAUCAUUUACCGCGACAGCCACGAGUAUUAGGUUAAAGUGGCGGCGUGAUUCUGCUAAACGCGAUGCUAAACAGGUACCGCUUCUGUCGCGAACCUUUCCACCGUCAAGGAACGAUAUCGUCACGUAUCGAACUAUCAAUACGUACACGUUACUCGUCGAUAUCGAUAUCGACGUCGAUCGUAACGAGCGUGCACGCGUAGAGGACGUUAACCGUACGAGGAAACGUUAUGAAAAUUUGUACAAUGUGAUUUCUAGAGAUCCGGUAGUGCGAUAAAUAAAUGAAAAAAGUGAAUAUAUCCGAGGUAAAAAGGGGCGAGGUUAUAAAACAUCGGUGUAAAGAAUACGAAAUCGCGGCAUUUAUCUUCUAUUUUGCAGUAUGCUCGUAUCUCCAACCCCGUAACGAGGGGAUCCUCACUUGCAAAGACCGAUUUCGCCUUAUCUGUCCGGCUUAUCAGCUACAAGAAUAUUCACGCGAAUUUAUCGAUCUGUCCGCAGUCGUUUCGGCAUGGCUGGCGUUUUCUUUCUUUCUCUCUCUAAAGCGUUAGUUUUACGCUCGUCGUCCCCGAGAGACGCGAUAAGGAAAAAAAAAGGCGAGGGGAAGGAAGAAGGAGAAAGAAAGAGGAAAAAUAAGAAGACUCAAACUCGAAGUCGCGUUAUGAGCAUGAAUUUUUAUAUUGAGAUAUUAUCGCGCCGCUGCCGGGAAGGGAAAAUAAAAACGAAGUUUCGUUUCGCGACCAUAAUGACGUACGUUCGUGCGUAUCAUCGCCGAUUUCGUCGCUUCUUUUUCUUCCUUUCGUCGAGCUGAAUGUGCAAGCGUACCUUUAAGAAAGAACAAAAAAGAAAAAGAAACAGAAACUACACGAGAGAGUAACGACCGUUGAAAUCGAUCGUAAAAAUUUUCGUUCCUCGUGAAUUAAGUUUCUCCCCUCUUCUUAACGGUGGUUAGAGCCGUGUUACGCGAAACACGAUGCUUCGUUGGAUUACGCAACUCGUUUGGCAAGAAUAGACGACCCGCGUGUACGCUCCUACACGUAUAACACACACUGUCGGCAGAAUGCGAGACCACCUCUUUAUCAUGAUGAUAACCUGCGACGAUCGUCCGUAGGCCGCGAUGAAAACGUUUAAUCAUUGCUUCACGAUGGCUACUUCCUGCCUUAAUUGCCCGUUUGUUGACUUAAUUAAUUGUUUCUAGCGCAGGAGAAGUAAUUUCUGACGUACAAAAAUAGGCUACAUCGCGUGUAACGUAUUGCUGCGUUUUCCAGACAACGUUCCACGAAGCAUAGAGAUUUUAUAAUUACGUUUCUAUUUAAGCAAGCUUCAGUAAGAAUAUAAGUAGAAACGUGAUACAAACCUCUUCAAGACAUCAAAUUUAUUUAUAAAACUGGAGUAACUAUUGUUGGUGGUUUCUAGAACUUACUCUAGUUUUAUAAAUGAAUUACAAGUUUCUAAGAAUUUCUAGUUACGUUUCUUCUCAUUUUUACAUUUGCUUUAAGAUUCUGCAUAGACCAAGGAGUAAUCGAGUCGCUCUUAAAAUUAUUUUAACAACAAUCGUGAUUAGCCUUCAAAUAUGCAUAGCCUAUUAUUUACUUAACAAAAUAUAUUUCGCUUUUCCUAUUUAAAAGCUGAGGUGAUUAUUAAACGUGUCGGUUCGUUUAACAAAGAUACGAGUGAUAAAAUCGUAAUAUAGUCGAUAUAUUAAAAUCUCUAAUAUAAAUUGUUAAUUACUCUACUAUUGAACUGUCCGAGAGAGCACCUUCGUCUAUUUAUAACUACAGUUGUUGUCACGAAAAAUUCAAAUGUAACUUCGAUUGACGAUUAUAAAUAACGGCAAUAAUAUUUUGUCCGGAGUUUGUUUACUUUUGAACCUAGCAAACCAAAAAAACGUUGAUAUUCCAAGGCACAAUAAUAUGAGUCUGUCUCGACUCAAAUCUUCCGUUGACCGACGUGCCGCUACAAAGGCAUAUCGGAAUACUAGAGAUUAUUGAAUCAAGAUAGCAAAUAUGAUAGAUCCUGCUAUUGAAAUUUGAUGUAAUGAAAAAUGUUUGUUGGGUAGCACGGUAACUCGUGUUAUGUAAUAUAUAUGGUGGCGUAAACGUCAUGUACGGAGAUAGGGACGAAAAGUUUUCGAGGCAGCGUGGCCGAGCGGUCUAAGGCGCUGGUUUUAGGCACCAGUCCGUAAGGGCGUGGGUUCGAAUCCCACCGCUGUCAAUUCCUUUUUUUUUUUCGCUCUUACAAUUAACGAUAGUCGCCAAAGUGUAAGAUGCACACGCAAUCUCAUUUUUUUUUUUUUUCAUAAAUAUAUCCGAUAUCGUAAAAUUUAUGAAAUUCACUAACUACAAUUUUGUUAGAUCUAGGAAGAUAUGGGUAAUCGAUAAUUCAUGAUGUCGAUCCUUUAGGAGAGGAUCAUAACGAUAAGUAAUGCAAUUUUACAUUGUUAUGCCUCAGCGUAGCAUACUGAGUAUCUGUUAAAGCAAUGCACACAAUGCAAGUUAGUUUAAGCGUGAUAUGUAAUAACCGUGUAACAGUAUAGAGAGAAAUGAAUACUCUGUUAUUAGUAUUCAUGUCGCAAACAUUUGAGUGUUAAAUAUAAACUUGCAUGUAUUGUAAAAUAUAAUUUGCUAGUUCGAUAAAGCUAAAAAACUAAAAACGUCGUGUAAAUUCUAACUUAAGGGAAUAAGUUAGUAAAAUAUCGAAGAUAUAGUUCGUGUCUAUGGUUAAAAUGGUUAUGGUUAAAAAUUUUGGUUAAAAAAGUCCAAAAUUCAAAGGUCCCACCGAGAUUUGAACUCGGAUCGCUGGAUUCAGAGUCCAGAGUGAUAACCAUUACACCAUGAGACCUUCGAGAAGGGUUAAUAAAAAUAUAAACCAAAUGUGACCUUGAAAUUGUAGGUCAUUAUCAUAAAUACAGAAACGUCACUGAGACAAGGUCAAGAAUCGAUUCGAUCGUAAGGCAGCACUAAAAACUACAAGACUCUUACUGUAUAUCCAUCUUUCUUUAGAAACCAAAUUAAUAAACAAUUAAGUAAAUAAAAUCGUCAAAAUAUUUUAAGCACAGAUGAUCGAUGCAUGAUUCAAAACGCCAUGAUUGAAUCAAUUCACUAACGUGUAAAGAUAUCUUUCUCUAAAAACGACGAAAGAUGUAUUUAUACAUUUCGAUUAAAUCUUAAAACGUGUAUGUAAUUACGUUAAAUAGGAAUAAAAAUUGUUUCAACAAGA